CUGUAAUGUAAGAGCUUGUGGCAGCACUCCAACACCAGUGAUUGCAAUUGAAAUAUGUUUUAUGUGAGUCUCUAUAAUGUCACUCAGGCAGCAUGGAACUCUUUCCAAACAACUUAAUAAAGGAGGCACUACUAUUUUUCAAGUCAUCAACAGUUUUGGAGGAAGUCUGCGAUGCCCUGUGGAAGAACCUGACCUGAAACGAUAUCCAUGACCAUGUUGUUUGUUUCACAUCGAAGUUCUUGACUUUGGGUAAC
rnacentral:lncRNA from 1 species